AGAUUAAGUUAUUAAGGGCGCACGGUGGAUGCCUUGGCACUAGAAGCCGAUGAAGGACGUUACUAACGACGAUAUGCUUUGGGGAGCUGUAAGUAAGCUUUGAUCCAGAGAUUUCCGAAUGGGGAAACCCAGCAUGAGUUAUGUCAUGUUAUCGAUAUGUGAAUACAUAGCAUAUCAGAAGGCACACCCGGAGAACUGAAACAUCUUAGUACCCGGAGGAAGAGAAAGAAAAUUCGAUUCCCUUAGUAGCGGCGAGCGAAACGGGAAGAGCCCAAACCAACAAGCUUGCUUGUUGGGGUUGUAGGACACUCUAUACGGAGUUACAAAGGACGACAUUAGACGAAUCAUCUGGAAAGAUGAAUCAAAGAAGGUAAUAAUCCUGUAGUCGAAAAUGUUGUCUCUCUUGAGUGGAUCCUGAGUACGACGGAGCACGUGAAAUUCCGUCGGAAUCUGGGAGGACCAUCUCCUAAGGCUAAAUACUCUCUAGUGACCGAUAGUGAACCAGUACCGUGAGGGAAAGGUGAAAAGCACCCCGGAAGGGGAGUGAAAUAGAACCUGAAACCGUGUGCUUACAAGUAGUCAGAGCCCGUUAAUGGGUGAUGGCGUGCCUUUUGUAGAAUGAACCGGCGAGUUACGAUUUGAUGCAAGGUUAAGCAGUAAAUGUGGAGCCGUAGCGAAAGCGAGUCUGAAUAGGGCGUUUAGUAUUUGGUCGUAGACCCGAAACCAGGUGAUCUACCCUUGGUCAGGUUGAAGUUCAGGUAACACUGAAUGGAGGACCGAACCGACUUACGUUGAAAAGUGAGCGGAUGAACUGAGGGUAGCGGAGAAAUUCCAAUCGAACCUGGAGAUAGCUGGUUCUCUCCGAAAUAGCUUUAGGGCUAGCCUCAAGUGAUGAUUAUUGGAGGUAGAGCACUGUUUGGACGAGGGGCCCCUCUCGGGUUACCGAAUUCAGACAAACUCCGAAUGCCAAUUAAUUUAACUUGGGAGUCAGAACAUGGGUGAUAAGGUCCGUGUUCGAAAGGGAAACAGCCCAGACCACCAGCUAAGGUCCCAAAAUAUAUGUUAAGUGGAAAAGGAUGUGGCGUUGCCCAGACAACUAGGAUGUUGGCUUAGAAGCAGCCAUCAUUUAAAGAGUGCGUAAUAGCUCACUAGUCGAGUGACACUGCGCCGAAAAUGUACCGGGGCUAAACAUAUUACCGAAGCUGUGGAUUGUCCUUUGGACAAUGGUAGGAGAGCGUUCUAAGGGCGUUGAAGCAUGAUCGUAAGGACAUGUGGAGCGC
rnacentral:rRNA from 1 species